rnacentral:rRNA from 1 species
UACGUAGGGGGCGAGCGUUGUCCGGAGUUACUGGGCGUAAAGGGCACGCAGGCGGUGCGGCGCGUUUCGCGUGACAGCGGAGGGCUUAACUCUCCGAGGAUGCGAAAGACGGCGGCACUUGAGGGCCAGAGAGGGACACGGAAUUCCGGGUGGAGUGGUGAAAUGCGUAGAUAUCGUAAGGAAGACCAGUGGCGAAGGCGGGUCUCUGGACAGUUCCUGACGCUGAGGCACGAAGGCCAGGGGAGCAAACGGG